GGAGAGAUGGCCGAGUGGCUGAAGGCGUCGGUUUGCUAAACCGAUAUACGGGUUAAACCGUAUCGGGGGUUCGAAUCCCCCUCUCUCCGCCA
rnacentral:tRNA from 1 species